UACGUAGGGGGCAAGCGUUGUCCGGAUUGACUGGGCGUAAAGCGCACGCAGGCGGACGCGCGCGUGGGGUGUGAAAUCUGGCCGCUUAACGGCCAGGCGCCAUCCCAUACGGCGCGACUGGAGUGAUGCAGAGGUCGAUGGAAUUGCCGGUGUAGUGGUGAAAUGCGUAGAGAUCGGCAGGAACACCCAGGGGGAAACCAGUCGACUGGGCAUCUACUGACGCUGAGGUGCGAAAGCGUGGGGAGCAAACAGG
rnacentral:rRNA from 1 species